UACGUAGGGUGCAAGCGUUGUCCGGAAUUAUUGGGCGUAAAGAGCUCGUAGGCGGUCUGUUGCGUCGGCUGUGAAAACCCGAGGCUCAACCUCGGGCCUGCAGCCGAUACGGGCAGACUAGAGUUCGGCAGGGGAGUGCGGAAUUCCUGGUGUAGCGGUGAAAUGCGCAGAUAUCAGGAGGAACACCGGUGGCGAAGGCGGCAUCCUGGACCAACACUGACGCUGAGGAGCGAAAGCCAGGGGAGCAAACGGG
rnacentral:rRNA from 1 species